rnacentral:rRNA from 1 species
AACACAUGCAAGUCGAGCGCUCUCUUCGGAGGGAGCGGCGGACGGGUUAGUAACGCGUGGGAACGUACCCUUCUCUAAGGAAUAGCCACUGGAAACGGUGAGUAAUACCUUAUACGCCCUUCGGGGGAAAGAUUUAUCGGAGAAGGAUCGGCCCGCGUUAGAUUAGAUAGUUGGUGGGGUAAUGGCCUACCAAGUCUACGAUCUAUAGCUGGUUUUAGAGGAUGAUCAGCAACACUGGGACUGAGACACGGCCCAGACUCCUACGGGAGGCAGCAGUGGGGAAUCUUGGACAAUGGGCGCAAGCCUGAUCCAGCCAUGCCGCGUGUGUGAUGAAGGCCUUAGGGUCGUAAAGCACUUUCGCCAGAGAUGAUAAUGACAGUAUCUGGUAAAGAAACCCCGGCUAACUCCGUGCCAGCAGCCGCGGUAAUACGGAGGGGGUUAGCGUUGUUCGGAAUUACUGGGCGUAAAGCGCACGUAGGCGGAUCAGAAAGUAAGGGGUGAAAUCCCAGGGCUCAACCCUGGAACUGCCUCUUAAACUCCUGGUCUAGAGUUCGAGAGAGGUGAGUGGAAUUCCGAGUGUAGAGGUGAAAUUCGUAGAUAUUCGGAGGAACACCAGUGGCGAAGGCGGCUCACUGGCUCGAUACUGACGCUGAGGUGCGAAAGUGUGGGGAGCAAACAGGAUUAGAUACCCUGGUAGUCCACACCGUAAACGAUGAAUGCCAGACGUCAGCAAGCAUGCUUGUUGGUGUCACACCUAAC